AUGCAAUCCUCUAGCUCAUCCGUACAGACGACAAAAUCGAUCCCGAAAUGUCCGGGUGUUACUGCUGGCGGCAGCAGUUGCUUUCUCAAACGCCUCGCGCCGCCAUCGGCCACGGGGGCGCGUCAUUAUUCAGCUCUCGUCAACCUACAGACCGCGCUCAAACCGAUAAUCCGACGACGUUCGGCGCCUCACAUUGAUGGUGCGCCUAAUGGCCACCUGCAUCCCAACUUCCCGGUUAACUGGGCCCACUCCAAGCCCACUCCACAACGCCUUGGUCGGCUU
rnacentral:lncRNA from 1 species